GAUUUGUAUUCUAAAGUAGAAAAUUUGUGUUUUAACGCAGAGACUUUAUAUUUUAAAACAGGAAUACCAGGUAUCCUCAUAGAGAGGGAGGGCGGAACAUACUGUCCCCACGCAUACACUUUUUAACACGAAGUGUCGCGAGAUUCCACAUGGGUUACAAUUUGUUACAAUGAUUUUUAAUCAUUAUAAUAUGGAUUGGAUUAGGUUAGAUCUUUUAAUGGGAACCCCCGUAGAGGGGAGACGGAACAUACUGUUUCCAUGCAUACACUUUUUAGCACGAAGCGAAGUACCACAUGGAUCUAUCUAAUAAAGAAAUCAACAUUCAAAAACAUUCUAUAGUUCUUAACUUUAUAAUUCUAGUUAUACAUUUUUAACUUUAAAUAUCUCAGAAACUAUGAAAGACCGCCACCUAAUUGUUAAUGCAAAGUUACUCAGGAUCAUAACCUUGACAAUAUAUGUCAAGAUCAAAGUCAUCCAAGCUGUAUAAGUUUUUGUAAAGAUUGACCAUAAUUUCUUAUGUAAUUUAUAACUGUGUAUUUAAAUAGAGUGUAUAGGCCGAUUUUAAUUCAGGAGGUUCGGGAGGUUCGAGAGGAGUGCGGGGGAACGAUGAGCGCGGGGAAGAGGGAAGAAAGAACGCAGAGACGGUGAUCCUUUGAAAUGAGACGCCGGGAGGGAAGAGGGUAGAUAAGAUAGUAAACUCCGGAAAAGCCGCGAAAAGAUUGCUCUUCGUAUAAUCCGGCUGCUAUAAACAAAUAGAUAAACAAAUUGCGAUUCAAUUGCAAACGUAUAACGAUGUUCUGGUUUAGACAAAGGGACAAAGAAAUUACCGAUGAUAUAUAAUAGAUCAUUGGCUGCGCGGGAUCACAGUAGAAAGUCUAAUGAAUCGAAUGUGAGAGAAAGCCGGCGCGAUUGCAUACAAAAAAGAACGUGAAGUGUUGCAUGUGCCGAUAUUGACAGGUGUCAUUUAUAACGGUGCUCCACCCCUGUUCCUAUUGAUAAUACAAGGAAUACGUGUAGUACACUGCUAAAAAGGAAAAAAACUUUGUGGCGUUACAAUGAGAGAUACCAAGAUACCGAGUCAUUGUAAAUAAUGUGGCGCUAGAUUAAUAGAUAAUAAGAUAUGCAGUUGUCAACCACUCGAAAUGUUAAUAAGUUCUCCGUUACGGAACGUGACGAAUUAUCCACCGGUGAACGUGGCAAAUUAUUUUUUGAAGAGAUAUUACAUCCCGAUUGCUCACAAUUUUGUGAAGAGACGCAAACCCCGACUAAAAUAAUUCCGGAGGCAUCCCGCUUCUCGAUUUCUAUCAAAAUAUUUCUGGAGACAUGUGUAUAUCACUAUUACCGAAGAAUUGCGUAUAAUUUAUCGUCAGAUGUCCUUUAUGGAAAGGGCAAAUAAUUCGUUCUCGCUAAACGACAGUAGUCUAUGGUAAAAUUUCGUGAACACGAAUGUUAUAAUGACAUAGAAUUGUUCAUUUACAAUUACGUACAAUAUAAUUUCUUACAGGGAAUUUUCUACUGUUCAUUAGCCAUGUGCAAAAA